rnacentral:tRNA from 1 species
AGGGGUAUAGCUCAGUGGUAGAGCACGUGCUUAGCAUGAAUGACGUCCUGGUUUCAAUCCCCAGUACCUCCA